GCCGGGUGUGAUGGCUCAUGCCUGUAAUCCAAGCACUAUGGAGGCCAAGGCAGGUGGAUCACCUGAGGUCAGGAGUUCAAGACCAGCCUGACCAACAUGGUUAAACCCUGUCUUUA
ensembl:misc_RNA Metazoa_SRP Metazoan signal recognition particle RNA